rnacentral:rRNA from 1 species
AUUCCAGCUCCAAUAGCGUAUAUUAAAGUUGCUGCAGUUAAAAAGCUCGUAGUUGGAUUUGUGGCGCGGCCGUCCGGCGGGGCUCCUUCAUUGGGGCCGUUUGUCUGGUUUUUCGGCCGCUCCAUUCUCGGGUAGUGUGUCGCUGGCAUUAGGUUGUCGGCUUCUUCACGCCCGUCGUUUACUGUGAAAAAAUUAGAGUGUUCAAAGCAGGCUUAGGCCAUUGGAUACAUUAGCAUGGAAUAAUGAGAUAGGACCACGACGGUCUAUUUUGUUGGUUUGCACGUUGUGGUAAUGAUUAACAGGAACGGUUGGGGGUAUUCGUAUUCAAUUGUCAGAGGUGAAAUUCUUGAAUUUAUGGAAGACGAACUACUGCGAAAGCAUUUACCAAGGAUGUUUUCAUCA